UGUCUGAUUUCAGUUUACCGGACAGCUACAAAGUAACGAGGAUAAAGGAUGAAUCUGCGGCAAAAUCAUUGCAACAAAAGGCCAUGGAUUUCAUUCAGUCCCGUCUUUAUGGACCAGGAACCAAAAGAACAACCAAUGCAGAGCUUCUAUCCCUCAAAAAGAAACGGGGUGCGAGCAAAGGUGCAGCUGUGGAGUUUGUGAAUAAAAAAUUGGGUGCUUCCCAAAAAGCCAGGAUUGCAAGGUCCAACAAACGGUUUAUACGCCAACAGAAACUGAUUCCUUUAUGAGAUAAAACAGGAGAAAGAACUGCUGAAUUAUGAGAGUUCAACACAUGAAAACUGUCACACCUGGAGGCGGCUUCCAUCAUCCUGCUGUUUUUGACCAUGUGGAUCAUAUUUUUCAAAAGGACGCCUUUAAUUAUUUUGUGCAUUUUUCUUUAAACCUCAUAUAGUUAAAAAAUAUUAAACCUUAUUAUCAAAUAAGAUAGUAAUUUAAAAAGAAGUGACUUAGCUUAUAUCUUGUGUACAAAUUAAACUUAAAUCGGAACAUUUUUAAUAGUGGCAGAAGCUGAAUGUAAAUUUAAGUGUGCAUAUUUACUCUACACGUCAAUAAAUGUAAACCUGAUCUAAAGAUGAA